UUCUCAGUUUUGUUUUGUGUUUAGAGGAAAAGGAGACGGGCGGCGAGUGGGCCUUGGAGGGGCAGCGGCGGCGGCGAGCGGGCUCUGGAGGGGCAGCGGCGGCUAGAUGGCCUCGGAGGCGAGCAGAGGGGCGACUAUAGGAGGAGGAGGAGGAGGAGCGGCCUCUGUUGUACAGCUGCGAACGGCGCCGCUCCCGGCUGUUGAAGAUGAUGGGCGGGCUUACCUCGGGCUUCUUCCCACCCGACUUGUUCAAGGUGCCGGUUGUACGGGAGUCCCUCGCCCGGUCCUUCGACCUAGUCCCGUAGGACUAAUAUUCUAAGCUCUACGGAAAGUUACAGACCACACCACCUACGUCAAGGUACUAUCCCUUCCCUCAUUCCAAAUUACGACUUUUCUUUGUUCAACCUUUAAUGAUGAGAUGGUUCUAUACCUCGAAGUCAUACUUUAGUGGUACAACGGUCGUACUCUAUCAGUAUGUAUGUCUGGGCUUCUUAUGACUCAUACAAUAUUAGUCACCCCGAGUCGCCUUCUGACUUCUAAAGCUACAACUUCUACGUCUCUGCGAGGACGAGGGACGACUACUUCUUUCUCUGUUCGAACGCCUAGGGUACAUAUUCGAACUUGUGGUCCCUCUCCUAUAAGCCUUCUUCUUUCUUCUCCUCGGACAAAAUCAAGCCGAAGUUGCGGAGAGACUAUCGGCAGUAAGACUACUAAUAAGGGACUUGUCUUGGGAGGCGCUGGCGGAAUCCCAGUAGAUCACUUAAGGAAACAUAUUAAAAAGUAGUCAUUCAACAGAUUGUCAGUCCUAAGAAUAGGUGAACAACAGGAUAAUAAAUACAUCUCGGUUUUCUUCUCUCAACGACUUCUCUUCUUUAGUCGCUCCUUCUACCCCGAGCCUCAUGCGGAAGACGGUGGGAGGCGUCUCCUACGGCGGCGACGUCGAGCACACUCCAAGCGGAGUUUAAAGCUCUUCUUGUCUUUCCUGUUCUCUCGUCGCUAGUUCCGGCGGAGGUAGAAGGGCCUCGGUAGUCCGAGUCGAAGCUUUCUGUUCGAUCUGGACCGCGACUUCUCCGCCUUAUAUUUUCGAUCACGUCGUAGUCGCGACUACCGCCCGUCCCGUUUCGGCAGCAGUACCAGCUGCGUCUCGCGGCCAAGACCUUCACGUUCCUGACGACACGGCUAUAACCGUUCCGCGUUCAUCUCGGUGGGACUCAACACGAACGCGUUAGUUCGUUCUCUUAGAAACACUGGAACAGGUCAGACAACGAGACAUUUUGAGUACAUAUGCACAUAGAACACAUCAUAACAAGAUCGGAAGAUGACAUUGUAUAGUACUCUUUGACUAAAACGGAUUCUAUCGGUAACUUAAGUCAAGCUCCCCGUUUGCUACUAGAACCAGCCGAUUUCACAGAUGUAGUUACCUUUUGUCGGAUCAAAAAAGAGCAUAUUUUUCG
rnacentral:rRNA from 1 species